AAUCUACAAGGUGCUUUCUAGCAUUGUGGCAGCUGCUAAGAAUUUUAGUAACAGAUUCUUGCAAUUCCAGAAAAUGGAGACAACCCUGUAUUUUCUUACUUCUCCAGAUAAAGCCAAAUAUGAAGAGCUUGAUAUGUCCUGCUUACACUGGUUAGAUUUAGGAAAUCUGGAAACUGAGCUAUUAGAAUUUCAAGAAAGCUCUAUCUAGAAAAAAUAAUUCUAUGCCCUGCCUGCCACACUUGAGGGGAUGACAAAGGACAGCACAGUUGGU